rnacentral:rRNA from 1 species
ACGGAAGGCAGCAGUGGGGAAUAUUGGGCAAUGGGCGAAAGCCUGACCCAGCAACGCCGCGUGAAGGAAGAAGAUCUUCGGAUUGUAAACUUCUUUUAUGAGGGACGAAGGACGUGACGGUACCUCAUGAAUAAGCCACGGCUAACUACGUGCCAGCAGCCGCGGUAAUACGUAGGUGGCGAGCGUUAUCCGGAUUUACUGGGUGUAAAGGGCGCGUAGGCGGGGUUGCAAGUCAGAUGUGAAAUCUAUGGGCUUAACUCAUAAACUGCAUUUGAAACUGCAACUCUUGAGUGCUGGAGAGGUAGACGGAAUUCCUUGUGUAGCGGUGAAAUGCGUAGAUAUAAGGAGGAACACCAGUGGCGAAGGCGGCUUACUGGACUGUAACUGACGUUGAGGCUCGAAAGCGUGGGGAGCAAACAGGAUUAGAUACCCUGGUA